UCGCUCUUUCCAUCCCACCAACAAAACCAUGUGUUGGCCGUUUCUUCCAGAUCUUUUCCAUUAAGGAGAGAAUGUGAACCUCGUUAUCAAGCACAGCAUUGCUUCACUAAGUGGACAUCAGGCAUGAGGAGAAAAAGAGCCAGGGAUCAGCAGCACGACCAUUUCAACAAGGACAUAAUACUGCUUCCCAACCCUACAUGGGAUAUAGUUUGUAAACAAGGGCCAAAACAAUGGUUGCACGCACACAGACAUAUUCUUAGUGCUUUUGAAUUCCACAAGGCUUGGGACUACCAGACUGUUAUAAAAUGCAUCAGGGAAGGCUUUGGUCACCACCUUCCAGAAGAUGUUAGCCUCCAGUUUCUCAUGGCUUGUGGAAAUAAGUUGGUGUCUCCUAAGCUCCAGGAAAGUCAGGAGCUGAAUGGCAUGCUAAUCCACAAGGUUUAUGAAACAAAAGCCCUAUAUGUUAGACCAUCAAAGACC